rnacentral:rRNA from 1 species
GACGAACGCUGGCGGCGUGCCUAAUACAUGCAAGUCGAACGCUGAAGAGAGGAGCUUGCUCUUCUUGGAUGAGUUGCGAACGGGUGAGUAACGCGUAGGUAACCUGCCUGGUAGCGGGGGAUAACUAUUGGAAACGAUAGCUAAUACCGCAUAAAAUGGAUUAUCGCAUGAUAAUCCAUUGAAAGGUGCAAAUGCAUCACUACCAGAUGGACCUGCGUUGUAUUAGCUAGUUGGUGGGGUAACGGCUCACCAAGGCGACGAUACAUAGCCGACCUGAGAGGGUGAUCGGCCACACUGGGACUGAGACACGGCCCAGACUCCUACGGGAGGCAGCAGUAGGGAAUCUUCGGCAAUGGACGGAAGUCUGACCGAGCAACGCCGCGUGAGUGAAGAAGGUUUUCGGAUCGUAAAGCUCUGUUGUAAGAGAAGAACGAGUGUGAGAGUGGAAAGUUCACACUGUGACGGUAUCUGACCAGAAAGGGACGGCUAACUACGUG